rnacentral:lncRNA from 1 species
AGAGUUAUGGUUUGAAUCCUGUGGAAUUUUAUUUCAUUGUUCUUUCCACCAAGUAUUUUCCUAGUUUGCUUUGAUUUUCCAUAUCCAUUUUUUUCUUAGCCCUCACCAUGUGGCCUAGCAUUACAACCUGAUUAUAGACCUUUUGAUCUCUGAUUUUGGUGUUUGACUACAUUAGUGGAGAGGAUUUCUAAAAAUUGGACUUAUGGGGUUAAGUUUUGAGAGAAUUCUUUGAUUUUAGUUGUUCUACUUUUAUCUGAGUUUACAGGUGGUUUGGAGUUAAAUUGACUAUUCACAUAAACACACACUCAAGGUCUUAGCUUUAGGUUGAAGUAACCUCUUAACUCUUACUUGACAAAUUGCUAAACUUUGGAUUGAUUUUCCUGCUAUCUUUGAUGUUAAAAGAGUUUUAAUUUGGAAUGAAGAGGAAAAGCUGGCAUGCGUGGGAUUUUUGGGCUCUUGAACGGAUAUACACAAGGAAGUCGUAAGAGAGCUGGACUCUUGAUGAACAACAUGCACGAAACGGAGGAAGGGGCAGGAAUUCUGG